UCGAAUAUUCUAUUUAUUAUGUUGUCGU
rnacentral:sRNA from 1 species